UCUUAUUGCUUCCUUGUUAUGGACGUACUUAUCUUUCAGAUGUCACCUCCUCCAGGAGUUGUCCAGGAUCUCUCAGGCAGAAGUCUUCGAGGUUCCAGAGCCCCUGGCCUAACAUCGCACUAUCCAAAUGUUCUUAAUGUCAGUGCGUCAGAGUCACCUGAAGAUCCUGUCUGGACAGCUGCUAGUGUGUGCACCUCUCUCGGUGGGGACAGUAGGGCUGUUGGUUGACAAACAUUAAUUAAGCGCUUGUUGGGAACAUCAUCAUCAUCGUCUUCAUCCUCAGUACUCUUGCAUUCACUAUGCUCCCUGCAGUGUCGUAACUUAAUUCAUCAGUAGCCUCGUAAGGAUUGGCCAGAGGGAGAUCAGAUUUGUGGAAUUUGUUUCAAAUCCUUAAUCCUGUCCUUUUUUUUUUUUUAACUUUUGAAAGAAAGACCUUCUCAUCCUUUGAUGUCAGAAAGGUCCCCGCUGACCUCUAAAACAAUAACUGCCCCCUCACCUAGAACAUAGUAUCUCCUUUAACCAUCUUUUUUGAGCCUGUUGAGCAGGAAAAAAAUUUUUCUCUAUCCUCUUAUGUUCAGUCUCAAGAGC